rnacentral:rRNA from 1 species
UACGGAGGGAGCUAGCGUUGUUCGGAUAUACUGGGCGUAAAGCGCACGUAGGCGGCGCCGUAAGUCAGGGGUGAAAUCCCGGAGCUCAACUCCGGAACUGCCCUUGAAACUGCAGUGCUAGAAUCUUGGAGAGGCGAGUGGAAUUCCGAGUGUAGAGGUGAAAUUCGUAGAUAUUCGGAAGAACACCAGUGGCGAAGGCGACUCGCUGGACAAGUAUUGACGCUGAGGUGCGAAAGCGGGGGGAGCAAACAGG